CACGGGGGGAGCAAGCGUUGUUCGGAAUCACUGGGCGUAAAGGGUGUCUAGGCGGUCAGGUAAGUGAGAUGUGAAAUGCCCCGGCUUACCCGGGGACCUGCAUCUCAUACUGCCUGGCUUGAGUAUGGGAGAGGAUGAGGGAAUUCCUGGUGUAGCGGUGAAAUGCGUAGAUAUCAGGAAGAACACCCGUGGCGAAAGCGGCUCUCUGGGACGGUACUGACGCUGAGACGCGAAAGCGUGGGGAGCGAACAGG
rnacentral:rRNA from 1 species